rnacentral:rRNA from 1 species
UACGUAGGGUGCGAGCGUUAAUCGGAAUUACUGGGCGUAAAGUGUGCGCAGGCGGCCGAGCAAGUCGAGUGUGAAAGCCCCGAGCUUAACUUGGGAACUGCGCUCGAAACUACUUGGCUAGAGUGUGGCAGAGGGAGGUGGAAUUCCACGUGUAGCGGUGAAAUGCGUAGAGAUGUGGAGGAACACCGGUGGCGAAGGCGGCUACCUGGACCGGUACUGACGCUGAGGCGCGAAAGCCAGGGGAGCAAACAGG